AUUGAACGCUGGCGGCAUGCCUUACACAUGCAAGUCGAACGGUAACAGGUCUUCGGAUGCUGACGAGUGGCGAACGGGUGAGUAAUACAUCGGAACGUGCCCGAGAGUGGGGGAUAACGAAGCGAAAGCUUUGCUAAUACCGCAUACGAUCUCAGGAUGAAAGCAGGGGACCGCAAGGCCUUGCGCUCACGGAGCGGCCGAUGGCAGAUUAGGUAGUUGGUGGGAUAAAAGCUUACCAAGCCGACGAUCUGUAGCUGGUCUGAGAGGACGACCAGCCACACUGGGACUGAGACACGGCCCAGACUCCUACGGGAGGCAGCAGUGGGGAAUUUUGGACAAUGGGCGCAAGCCUGAUCCAGCCAUGCCGCGUGCAGGAUGAAGGCCUUCGGGUUGUAAACUGCUUUUGUACGGAACGAAAAGACUCCUUCUAACAAAGGGGGUCCAUGACGGUACCGUAAGAAUAAGCACCGGCUAACUACGUGCCAGCAGCCGCGGUAAGAC
rnacentral:rRNA from 1 species